UGGGGAAUUUUGGACAAUGGGGGAAACCCUGAUCCAGCCAUCCCGCGUGUGCGAUGAAGGCCUUCGGGUUGUAAAGCACUUUUGGCAGGAAAGAAACGUCAUGGGUUAAUACCCCGUGAAACUGACGGUACCUGCAGAAUAAGCACCGGCUAACUACGUGCCAGCAGCCGCGGUAAUACGUAGGGUGCAAGCGUUAAUCGGAAUUACUGGGCGUAAAGCGUGCGCAGGCGGUUCGGAAAGAAAGAUGUGAAAUCCCAGAGCUCAACUUUGGAACUGCAUUUUUAACUACCGGGCUAGAGUGUGUCAGAGGGAGGUGGAAUUCCGCGUGUAGCAGUGAAAUGCGUAGAUAUGCGGAGGAACACCGAUGGCGAAGGCAGACUCCUGGGAUAACACUGAUGCUCAUGCACGAAAGCGUGGGGAGCAAACAGG
rnacentral:rRNA from 1 species